rnacentral:misc_RNA from 1 species
AACAUCGCGCACCUGCGGGAACCUGCGGAAGGAUCAUUAAUGAUUGGUGGCUGUUGCUGACUAGUGUUUCUAGUAUGUGCACGCCACACCUUCAAUCCCACUUACACCUGUGCACCUUCUGUAAUAGAUCUAUGUGGAUACGGAGAUGUGAAAGUUUGCGCUCUCUUACUCUGUUGAAGCAGUCUACUACGUUUUUUUACACACACACACACAAUAGUCAUUGAAUGUAUUUUUUAUUCU